rnacentral:rRNA from 1 species
UACGGGGGGGGCAAGCGUUGUUCGGAAUUACUGGGCGUAAAGGGCGCGUAGGCGGCAAUUCAAGUCAGUUGUGAAAUCUCCGAGCUUAACUCGGAACGGUCAACUGAUACUGUUUUGCUAGAGUACAGAAGGGGCAAUCGGAAUUCUUGGUGUAGCGGUGAAAUGCGUAGAUAUCAAGAGGAACACCUGAGGUGAAGACGGGUUGCUGGGCUGAUACUGACGCUGAGACGCGAAAGCUAGGGUAGCAAACGGG